rnacentral:rRNA from 1 species
CGCGUGCACUGGUCCGGCCGGGCCUUUCCCUCUGUGGAACCCCAUGCCCUUCACUGGGCGUGGCGGGGAAACAGGACUUUUACUUUGAAAAAAUUAGAGUGCUCCAGGCAGGCCUAUGCUCGAAUACAUUAGCAUGGAAUAAUGAAAUAGGACGUGCGGUUCUAUUUUGUUGGUUUCUAGGACCGCCGUAAUGAUUAAUAGGGACAGUCGGGGGCAUCAGUAUUCAAUUGUCAGAGGUGAAAUUCUUGGAUUUAUUGAAGACUAACUACUGCGAAAGCAUUUGCCAAGGAUGUUUUCAUUAAUCAGGAACGAAAGUUAGGGGAUCGAAGACGAUCAGAUACCGUCGUAGUCUUAACCAUAAACUAUGCCGACUAGGGAUCGGACGAUGUUACUUAUUGACUCGUUCGGCACCUUACGAGAAAUCAAAGUGCUUGGGCUCCAGGGGGAGUAUGGUCGCAAGGCUGAAACUUAAAGAAAUUGACGGAAGGGCACCACCAGGGGUGGAGCCUGCGGCUUAAUUUGACUCAACACGGGGAAACUCACCAGGUCCAGACACAAUAAGGAUUGACAGAUUGAGAGCUCUUUCUUGAUUUUGUGGGUGGUGGUGCAUGGCCGUUCUUAGUUGGUGGAGUGAUUUGUCUGCUUAAUUGCGAUAACGAACGAGACCUUAACCUGCUAACUAGCCCGUAUUGCUUUGGCAGUACGCCGGCUUCUUAGAGGGACUAUCGG